AGGUUACUAGGUAUAAAAUGUCUGAUUAUGGGCAGAUUAUAUGCAGUACUAGGAAAGGCAGGAGAAGGGAGAAAAUUGGUUUUAAAACAGAACUGCAAUGAAACAGUUCCUAAAACAGACCUGCAAUUAAAUAGUCUUUCUGCGCAUUCCUUCUCUUCAGCCUCCCCUGGGUAAGGCUAUGCCAAUUACUCACAUCUCCCGGACUCACAUCCAGACUCAGUGGCUCAGGGCUUUCAUAGCUGAAGGCUUGUGAUAAAAUAGUUCACAGGUUUAAUUUUGCUACUGUGAAGAAAGUAAAAUGACAAAUAAAUCAUCAAAGGAAAGGCUAAGCAUUCAGGAGCUUUAUUUUGUAAUUAUGGUGUCUUAAAAACAUUUUGCAGCUUUAUGCUACUUCAUAUCAAAGACUGGAGGAGUUCUGCUUCUGUGGAUUAAGGAAGUGUCUGAAACCUGGGCAUUCAAUUGUAUCGCACCGUCCUAGUGGAACUAACCAUUCUAUCUUUAAGGUGGUUUGCUUUAGAGGCAAAUGUUAUUCAACCAAAGGGAUGUUUUCAGAAGGUCUGGAAAUUUUGUUCUUACUAUUUGAACAUAACUUGAAUCAUCUGGUAAGUUUCAGGAGGCUUAGAAUUUUUGUUAGAAGGAAUACAAAUGUAAUUAGGAUUUCCCAAGGAAACCAGAGGUGUGCUGCCUAUGUCAUUGCCUGGUCAUAUUGCAUUCACUCAGUUGCUGUACAUCUUCUGUCUUGCUUAUAGUGUUGUAAAUUACUUGAGGGAAGAAACCAUGUUGCAAUGUUCUUUGCUAUUUCUUCAUGUGCUUCAUAAUGUAUAGGACAGAGUAAGUUUUCAAUAAACUUUUAAAAAAUAAAAUAACAAAUGAGUGAAUAUAAAAGUGUUUCAUAUAAAUUGAACAGCAGCCAUCUUUCUACCAUAGCAUUAAAAUAGGAAUUAUUUCCUAGUACUCUUGGGAAUUUUAAUCUCUUUUCACAAUAGUCAACUGUGCAAAGGAGAGAAUAUUUAAUAAGACUCUGUAGUUCUUCACACUGAAGAAUCUUUUCUUUCACAUAGAAAAGAUUACCUAGAUUUUAGGUACUGCUAUUACAUAUAAUACUGUUUGUUUCUUAUUUAACAUGCUAUUUUAAGAAAAAGCGUUUGGAAAAAAAGUUGAUCUGUAAAAUGGGAGACAGUUUGAUUGCAGCUGUGCCCGUCUUCGGUAUUUCAAUACCAGCACCUGGUGGGUCAGAAGGAGAUGACACAUCUAGCUGUAAGCUGAAGUUUGUACGGUGCACCGAGGAGGGAUUCUGGAGGUGUAUAAUUUCAGAAUGAGUUGAGUUUACCCUGAAGGAGAAAACUGAAGAUUCCAAGAGGAAAGUAAUGCUGUGGCUUUGCUAAUUAAGCUGUAUGUGCAGAGUUGCACUUGACGAAAGUGUGGGCAGCAAGGAAGUUUUUCCUCAAAAUAAAUAUAUAAAAGAGAGAAAGAGAGAGCAACUGGCUAUUUCGGUUGUUGGUCCCUCCAAAUUAAAUUAAUUGUUGCUAACAAAUGUGGCACCUGCUUACUCACUACAUAAAGCACUCUAUAAAAUAAAAAUAUAUGCUUCCAACCUUUGAGAAGUAAAAAAGAAAGAUUCUAGAAGGAUCCUUAGAAUAGGGCGACCUGAACACAGAUGGCAAUAUUCUCUCUCUUGCUCCUCCCUGUGGGCCGAUUCAACGCGGGAACCAGGGUAGCAUCCAGGAGGGCUUGGAUUGGGAGUGGGGAUCUGAAGUCUCAUUUGAAUCCACUGAAAGGGAGAGCAGGUGCAGGGGAUGGUAUUGAAGUACUGGUGGGGAUACAGAAAACUGACAAAGAGCAAGUGAACAGCAGAGAGCUGCCUGUGUCCGUGCCGGGGGCUGGGCUGGAAAAGGCCAUGCGGCUGCUCCCCUCCCCCUCAACACAGGGCUUGGGUUUGCAGAGAGAGGCAGACCUGCCCAGGACGUUCCUCCAAGGCUUUCCUGGAGGGCAAACUGGAGUAGAGGGGGAUGACUCAUGAAGAGGUUUACUUCAAGAGGCAAUCGUUGAACUGUACAGCCUGUUUCUUUUUUGUUUGUAUGUUAUAUUUUAUAAUUAACAUGUUUAUAAAAGAAAAAUGAAGAGUUAUGGCAGAUUAGGUUCCCUAUAUGACACAGGGCAAUUUGUAAUGUUACAAAGAGUUACCUUGUAAAUGCCUUUAAUAUCUGUUAAGUAAACAUUCUCAUAAUCAGCAAAUCAACUCUUUAUGGAAAUGUAUGUUUUAAAAUUGGAUGUAAAUGUUUGAAAUUUUAUUCCAAAAUAAUUUAUUUCCCAAAUAAUUUGAGUUUUAUUUCCAAAAUAAUUUGAGUAAUUUAAGUCUUGGUUCACUGCCACUCUUCCGUGCUCUCAUAAUACCCUAUAUGUCUAGUGUGGCACUUAUUACAUUGUCUAAUAAUUAAUUGUUAUAAAUAAACUUUUAAUUUUAGCAUGCUUUAGUAUUUACAGAAAAGUUGAAAUAUUAGAGAGGUUUUUAUAUUCUACAUCCAAUUUCCCCUAUCACCAACAUCUAACAUUAGUCUGAUACAUUCAUCACAAACAAUGAACUGAUACUGCUACAUUAUUAAUAAAUAAGUCUAUGUGCUGUUUGGAUUAUCUUAGUUUUUACACAAUGUUCUUUUCCUAUCUUAAAAUCCCAUUUAGGAUAACACAUUACAUUGAGUCACUUGGUUUUCUUGGGCACUAUUAGACUGUAAUAAUUUCUUAGACUUUCCUUGUCUUUGAAGACCUUGACAGUUUUGAGGAGUAUUAGACAAAUAUUUUGUAGACUGUUCCUCAAUUUGAGUUUAUCUGAUUCCUUUACUCAUGAGUACAAUGAGGUUAUGGGGUGUGGGGAGGGAGACCACAGGGGUGAGCUGUCGCUCUCUUCCCAUCCUGUCAGGGGUACACAGGGUCAUUGUGACUGGUUGCUGGUGAUGCUGCCCUGAAUUAUCUGGCUGGGGUGGUGUUUGCAGGUUUCUCCAUUGUGAGCUUACUACCCCCAGCAUUUCCUUACUGUAUGCCAUGAAAUGAAUGCCCUAUGCAAAGUCCACACAAAAAGGGUGGGGAGUCGUGCUCCACCUCCUUGAUGGGAGAGUAUCUAUAUAAAUCAUUUGAAAUUCUACACAAGCCAAUAAGCUAUUUUCUCCCAUUUACUUAUUUCAUCACUUACGUAUAUCGAGAUGGACUUUUGAAUGUUUAUUUUAUAUGUUAGACUAUAAUCAAAUACGUUAUUUUGUUGCUCAAAUUGUUUGGAUUUGAUUCCCAUUGAAAGGUCAUUCCAGAUGGCUCCUGUGUUGUCUUCACAAAACAUAUCAUUUUGUACUUGAGCACUUUCUUGCUUCCUGGAACUGCAUGAUACUGCAGGCUUAUCUUGUAUAUUUUCUGCCCCAGCCCUAGAAUCAGCCAUUUCCAAGUCCUGGUUCCUUUUUUUUUUUUUUUUUUUUUUUUUUUUGUCAAAAG